GAUGAACGCUGGCGGCGUGCCUAAUACAUGCAAGUCGAGCGAACGGACGAGAAGCUUGCUUCUCUGAUGUUAGCGGCGGACGGGUGAGUAACACGUGGAUAACCUACCUAUAAGACUGGGCUAACUUCGGGAAACCGGAGCUAAUACCGGAUAAUCUUUUGAACCGCAUGGUUAAAAAGUGAAAGACGGUCUUGCUGUCACUUAUAGAUGGAUCCGCGCUGCAUUAGCUAGUUGGUAAGGUAACGGCUUACCAAGGCAACGAUGCAUAGCCGACCUGAGAGGGUGAUCGGCCACACUGGAACUGAGACGCGGUCCAGACGCCUACGGGAGGCAGCAGUAGGGAAUCUUCCGCAAGGGGCGAAAGCCUGACGGAGCAACGCCGCGUGAGUGAGGAAGGUCUUCGGAUCGUAAAACUCUGUUAUGAGGGAAGAACAUAUGUGUAAGUAACUGUGCACAACUUGACGGUACCUAAUCAGAAAGCCACGGCUAACUACGUG
rnacentral:rRNA from 1 species